ACGAACGCUGGCGGCAUGCCUAACACAUGCAAGUCGAACGAGAGCUUCGGGUCUAGUGGCGCACGGGUGCGUAACGCGUGGGAAUCUGCCCUUCGGUUCGGAAUAACACAGAGAAACUGGUGCUAAUACCGGAUGAUGACUUCGGGCCAAAGAUUUAUCGCCAUGGGAUGAGCCCGCGUAGGAUUAGCUUGUUGGUGGGGUAAUGGCCUACCAAGGCGACGAUCCUUAGCUGGUCUGAGAGGAUGAUCAGCCACACUGGGACUGAGACACGGCCCAGACUCCUACGGGAGGCAGCAGUGGGGAAUAUUGGACAAUGGGCGCAAGCCUGAUCCAGCAAUGCCGCGUGAGUGAUGAAGGCCUUAGGGUUGUAAAGCUCUUU
rnacentral:rRNA from 1 species